GUCCACGCCCUAAACUAUGUCAACUAGCCGUUGGGAUCAUUGAAGGUCUUAGUGGCGCAGCUAACGCGAUAAGUUGACCGCCUGGGGAGUACGGCCGCAAGGUUAAAACUCAAAGGAAUUGACGGGGGCCCGCACAAGCGGUGGAGCAUGUGGUUUAAUUCGAUGCAACGCGAAGAACCUUACCAGGCCUUGACAUCUAGCGAACUUUCCAGAGAUGGAUUGGUGCCUUCGGGAACGCUAAGACAGGUGCUGCAUGGCUGUCGU
rnacentral:rRNA from 1 species